AUGAUUAAAAAAUUAUUUCAGAGAAUACUAACAGUGGGGUCCAUGAGAAAUCAGCAGUCCUGUUCACCUACUCAGUUACCCUUUGCAUCAGGACUAGACUUGAAAACAGAAGGAAUUAGAAUGAGGUGGAGAAGGAAGAGAGCGGAAGUAGGGAGACCAUGGAGUCAGUCAUCACUCAGCAAAGGUAUGGGGAACCCAAACACACUUGUGGCAAUAAAAAAAAGAGUGAGAAGCAAGAUAAAUUUCCAUGGUAGAUUUUUCUUUUUUAUCUCUUUAGACAAAUGAAGGAAAACACAGGGUGAGGGAGAAAGGUAUCAAAGAAGACUAUGUGAUUUUGAGACUGAAUAAUGGAGAACUGUUAUUCUAUUAACACAAAUAGUAAAGUAAUGUAGAGAUAUUGCUUUUGAUGGGAAUAAUGAGUUAGAGUUUUUCAUGUAUUGAACAAUGAUUUUAGUUCUCCUGGGGGCCUUCUUGAGCCUUCUAUGUCAUUCAGAUAUAAAAGGAUGAGAGGCCAAACUUACAGAGAAUGCAAAUGGGCAAUAAACGUACAAAAGACUUCAGCCUCAUUGGUAAUCAUGUAAAUGCAAGUUUUUUUUAAAAGAAUAUAUUAUUUUCCAGCCUAUUACAUAAAGGUUGAGAAAACAAACUAGACAAACUACUCAGCAAUAAACUUAAGAAAAACAUAGGAUUUGUAAGAAGAAAUCUAAAAGGUCUAUUGAAAGACAAAGAAAGUUGGAAAUAAAUAGAAAUAACAUAUACUUGAAUAGAAAGUUUUAAUAUUUUAAAAAAGAAAAUUGCCCCCACAUUUCUGUUUUAUGUUUUUGUUUUUGUUUUGUGAUGGGGUUUCACUCUCACCCAAGCUGGAGUGCGGUGGCACGAUCCUUCUUCACUGCAACCUCCGCCUCCCAGGCUCAAGCGAUCCUCCCACCUUAGCCUCCUGUGUAGCUGGGACCACAGGUGCGUGCUAUCAUGCCUGGCUAAUUUUUUUGUAUCUGUGGUAAUAACGGGGUUUCACCAGGUUGCCCAGACUGUUCUCAAACUCCUGGGCUCAAGCAGUCGGCCCAUCUCAGCCUCCUAAAGUGCUAGGAUUUUAGGAAUGAGGCACCGCACCCUGCCCUGCGAUUAUAAGCUUAACUCAGUCACAGUCAAAAGUUGACAAAAUGAGUUUAAAAGCACCUGGAUAUUUUAUUAAGUGAAAUAAAAUAACCAGGUUGCAGAACACUGUGUAUAGCAUGCUAUGAUUGCUGUAAAGAAAGGAAAAAUCUCACACACACACACACACACACACUGUCCUGGGAAGGGAAGGGAAAUGGGCAACCAAAGGAGAGACAGACAUCUCAUUUCAUCCCCUUUCCUAUUUCUGAGUUUGAAAAUGUAAAUACAUUAUAUAUCAAAAUUAAUGAAAUCAAUGAAGAGGAAUAGUUAGACCAUUUUUUUUUAAAGAGGAAUAAUUGAGGCCGGGUGCAGUGGCUCACACCUGUAAUCCUAGCACUUUGGGAGGCC
rnacentral:lncRNA from 1 species